AGGGGCGUAGCUCAGCGGCCAGAGCGGCGGUCUCCAGAACCGUAUGUCGCAGGUUCGAUUCCUGCCGCCCCUGCCA
rnacentral:tRNA from 1 species